CUUGUUUUAAAGAUUACUACAUACAUUAUUCACUCUACAUACUACAUAUAUUUCGAAGGUUUCCAAGGUGCUGCUUCCAUAGAGAAUAGCUUCCUGGCAAAAGACGCUUGGUGCAACCCAUAGUCAAACUGUGCGAUAUUCCUGGACCAUCGCUUGAAUAUGUUCAUGGCACAUCAAAUAUCGCCACAGUUCCGAGGGUAAGGAGACUUAAUUUGAAAGCAGUAGGAGUUACACAGCAGAAGCAUUUGUCGGCUCGCAACAAAAUUUUGUAUUAGGGCGUAAAGAAUUUGGUACAUCGCCAACAAGAAAACCUAUAUAUGUAAUUAUGUUAUCCAUACACAUACCUAAAUAUGUAUCUGAAUUAAUAAUUGAACUAAAUUAAUGAAUUUGUUUUGCUACUUUGAAUUAGGUAAAUGUUUAAUUUCUGAAUUUUUCAUUCAUAACAUGAUUUUGCUUCUUGAGCAAAUGUUUCUGGUUUCUAUAACAAACACCUUUCACAAUAUAAUGGUAAUUGGCGUUUCGCCUAUUUAUUUACUGCAAUAAAAAUGUGUAAAUGUU